rnacentral:rRNA from 1 species
AUUGAACGCUGGCGGCAGGCCUAACACAUGCAAGUCGAACGAGUGGCGGACGGGUGAGUAAUGUCUGGGAAACUGCCUUAUGGAGGGGGAUAACUACGGAAACCGGUAGCUAAUCCCGCAAACCAGCGGAUGAGCCCCGAUGUGAUGAUCUUGUGGGUGGGGUAACGGCUCACCAAGGCGACGAUCCCUAGCUGGUCGGAGAGGAUGAACAGCCACACUGGAACUGAGACCCGGUCCAGACUCCUACGGGAGGCAGCAGUGGGGAAUAUUGGACAAUGGGCGAAAGCCUGAUCCAGCCAUGCCGCGUGGGUGAAGAAGGUCUUCGGAUUGUAAAGCACUUUAAGUUGGGAGGCGUUACCAACAGAAUAAGCACCGGCUAACUUCGUGCCAGCAGCCGCGGUAAUAC